AGUGAACGCUGGCGGUAUGCCUAACACAUGCAAGUCGAACGGCAGCACAGUAAGAGCUUGCUCUUACGGGUGGCGAGUGGCGGACGGGUGAGGAAUACAUCGGCAUCUACUUUUUCGUGGGGGAUAACGUAGGGAAACUUACGCUAAUACCGCAUACGACCUACGGGUUAAAGCAGGGGAUCUUCGCACCUUGCGCGAUUGAAUGAGCCGAUGUCGGAUUAGCUAGUUGGCGGGGUAAAGGCCCACCAAGGCGACGAUCCGUAGCUGGUCUGAGAGGAUGAUCAGCCACACUGGAACUGAGACACGGUCCAGACUCCUACGGGAGGCAGCAGUGGGGAAUAUUGGACAAUGGGCGCAAGCCUGAUCCAGCCAUACCGCGUGGGUGAAGAAGGCCUUCGGGUUGUAAAGCCCUUUUGUUGGGAAAGAAAAGCAGCAGGUUAAUACCCCGCUGUUCUGACGGUACCCAAAGAAUAAGCACCGGCUAACUUCGUG
rnacentral:rRNA from 1 species